UAAACUUGUCCUUGCAUAAUUUCAUUUUGGACUGACAACAAAGGCUGGUCUGCUAGAAAGCUCAUAAAGGCAAAAGUCGAAAGUCGCAGCAUACUCUUUGGCGUUUGAGAAAUUUGUUUUCACAGAGUGCUUGAGGAAUGGUUGGUGGGAGACAUACACAAACAAAGCAACAAACAAAAAUGUCGACUUGAUUGCGUCGUUGAUGCCUUUGCCUUUUGCUGAAUGAACGACAGUCAUACAAUUGUGCGGACAGAUUGGCGACGUCGCUGCCGCUGCUGCAACAUGAAGUUUGAAUCCCCAGCGGAUUAGAAAAGUUUAAAUUGUUGCCACACAGCCAAGAAGAAAAAUCGAAGCAGUGGCAAAUGAACGAACGACCGAAUGAAUAAAGUGAGCAACGUAACGAUUA